AACGAACGCUGGCGGCAUGCCUAACACAUGCAAGUCGAACGAGACCUUCGGGUCUAGUGGCGCACGGGUGCGUAACGCGGGGGAACCUGCCCUUAGGUUCGGAAUAACUCCCCGAAAGGGGUGCUAAUACCUGAUAAUGUCUUCGGACCAAAGAUUUGUCGCCUCUGGAUGGGCCCGCGUUGGAUUCGCUAGUUGGUAGGGUAAAAGCCUACCAAGGCGACGAUCCAUAGCUGGUCUGAGAGGAUGAUCAGCCACACUGGGACUGAGACACGGCCCAGACUCCUACGGGAGGCAGCAGUGGGGAAUAUUGGAAAAUGGGCGAAAGCAUGAUCCAGCAAUGCCGCGUGAGUGAUGAAGGCCUUAGGGUUGUAAAGCUCUUUUACCCGGGAUGAUAAUGACAGUACCGGGAGAAUAAGCUCCGGCUAACUCCGUG
rnacentral:rRNA from 1 species